rnacentral:RNase_P_RNA from 1 species
GAGGAAAGUCCGGGCUCUAUUUAUAAAAACAUUGCUAUAUAAAUGUAGUGCAGGUAACUGCGAGGAGAGUGCCACAGAAAUAAACCUGCUAUGAAUUAUAAGUAAGGGUGCAAUGGUAUGGUAAAAGCAUACCAGGAGUAUUGUUAAGAUAUUUGCUAGGUAAACCCCAUGUAAGAGCAAAGUAAUCAAUUAGUUUAAAAUUAUAUUAUUGAUUUAAUUCUUAUUUAUAAGAAAUUAAUUGAUAGUUCUAAAUACUGCAUAGAGCAAGUAAUUUAAUGAUUAUUGCUAAAGAUAAAUAAUUACCCUUGUUGUAUUGUUUUUCUAUAAACGUACAAUUGAGAACAAAACCCGGCUUAU